GAAGUCCACCUACUGAACAACAGGUUACUAAAACAGGAUUUGACCCGUACCGCAGCCAUUACUUCUACUGGAGGUGGAUUCAGUAUAAGCAGCGUAUACAGUAUAUACUUGACCACUCCAUGGAAAGGUCAGGUGCCAAACCCCAGGAAACUAGAGAACAACGUGUCAUAAAAGGCCAGACCUCAUGGACAACUAACAUACCGUCUGUGGCUCAUGUUCUGGAGGCUUGGGUUACCCCAGUCCAAUUGGACCAUCCACGAAAACAUAUAGAAAAUUAUGUUUCCAUUAUCCAUUCCAUCACUGAGCAGAAAUGGAAAGGGCUGGCUCUCAAACACUUUGAGGGCAAAGGUGUCAUUGCUACCAUGCCCUUCUCCCGGAACCAAAUUGUUUGCGACUACCAUGGUGAAGUAAUCUCCAGGCUUGAAGGGGAGAAGAGUAUGGAGAGCCUCACAGAUAUGUCCUACAUGUUCUUCUUCAAAGGCAAGGGAAGUGAGCCCCUGUGCAUUGAUGCACAGAAAUUCCCAUGUGACGGUCACCCAGAUAGACACAUUUGGAAGGAGAUUGAACCAUUCCCGUAAAAAAUGCAACAUGCAGCCACAGAUUCACCAUGAACCUUCCAGGUGGACCCAGGGAAUCCUUACUCUUCCUAG